rnacentral:rRNA from 1 species
UGAACAUACCUAUUUGUUGCCUCGGCGGUGCCUGUUCCGACAGCCCGCCAGAGGACCCCAAACCCUGAUUACAUUUAAGAAGUCUUCUGAGUAAACCGAUUAAAUAAAUCAAAACUUUCAACAACGGAUCUCUUGGUUCUGGCAUCGAUGAAGAACGCAGCGAAAUGCGAUAAGUAAUGUGAAUUGCAGAAUUCAGUGAAUCAUCGAAUCUUUGAACGCACAUUGCGCCCGCUAGUAUUCUGGCGGGCAUGCCUGUCCGAGCGUCAUUUCAACCCUCAAGCCCCCGGGCUUGGUGUUGGGGAUCGGCGAGCCUCCGCGCCCGCCGUCCCCUAAAUCUAGUGGCGGUCUCGCUGUAGCUUCCUCUGCGUAGUAGCACACCUCGCACUGGGAAACAGCGCGGCCACGCCGUUAAACCCCCAACUUCUGAACGUUUGACCUCGGAUCAGGUAGGAAUACCCGCUGAACUUAAGCAUAUCAAUAAGCGGAGGAA